rnacentral:rRNA from 1 species
AGUUCGGAUUGUAGGCUGAAACUCGCCUACAUGAAGCUGGAGUUACUAGUAAUCGCAGAUCAGAAUGCUGCGGUGAAUGCGUUCCCGGGUCUUGUACACACCGCCCGUCACACCACGGAAGUUGGGGGCGCCCGAAGCCACUUAGCUAACCCUUUUGGGAAGCGAGUGUCGAAGGUGAAAUCAAUAACUGGGGUGAAGUCGUAACAAGGUACC